rnacentral:rRNA from 1 species
CUGACGGAGCAACGCCGCGUGAGGGAUGAAGGCCUCUGGGCUGUAAACCUCUUUUCUCAAGGAAGAAGAACUGACGGUACUUGAGGAAUAAGCCACGGCUAAUUCCGUGCCAGCAGCCGCGGUAAUACGGGAGUGGCAAACGUUAUCCGGAAUUAUUGGGCGUAAAGCGUCCGCAGGCGGCCUCGUAAGUCUGUCGUUAAAGCGUGGAGCUUAACUCCAUUUCAGCGAUGGAAACUGUGAGGCUUGAGUGUGGUAGGGGCAGAGGGAAUUCCCGGUGUAGCGGUGAAAUGCGUAGAUAUCGGGAAGAACACCAGUGGCGAAGGCGCUCUGCUGGGCCAUAACUGACGCUCAUGGACGAAAGCCAGGGGAGCGAAAGGGAUUAGAUACCCCUGUAGUCCUGGCCGUAAACGAUGAACACUAGGUGUCGGGGGAAUCGACCCCCUCGGUGUCGUAGCCAACGCGUUAAGUGUUCCGCCUGGGGAGUACGCACGCAAGUGUGAAACUCAAAGGAAUUGACGGGGGCCCGCACAAGCGGUGGAGUAUGUGGUUUAAUUCGAUGCAACGCGAAGAACCUUACCAGGGUUUGACAUCCUGCGAAUCCCUGAGAAAUCGGGGAGUGCCUUCGGGAGCGCAGAGACAGGUGGUGCAUGGCUGUCGUCAGCUCGUGUCGUGAGAUGUUGGGUUAAGUCCCGCAACGAGCGCAACCCACGUCUUUAGUUGCCAGCAUUUAGUUGGGCACUCUAGAGAGACCGCCGGUGAUAAACCGGAGGAAGGUGUGGAUGACGUCAAGUCAUCAUGCCCCUUACAUCCUGGGCUACACACGUACUACAAUGCUACGGACAAAGGGCAGCAAACUCGCGGGAGCUAGCAAAUCCCAUAAACCGUGGCUCAGUUCAGAUCGUAGGCUGCAACUCGCCUACGUGAAGGCGGAAUCGCUAGUAAUCGCACGUCAGCAUACUGCGGUGAAUACGUUCCCG